ACCAACCCUAAACUCACAAAACCAAAUUUGUAAACUAUAGAAAAGAGGGAGAAGGGAGGAAUGGAGUUGGGAAAUGACACCCCACUGAAAAAUAUGCAUUUCCACCACCAUACACAGAGGCCACAGGGCCAAUAGGGCUGAUUUGGGCAAGAAAACCCCGAUUUUAACUUCACCAGUUGAUGGUCACCAGUCAGCCGGUGAAGGCAGGGACCAUCCACCGGUGAAAAUAUUACAGGAUGUGCAUUCCUUUUGGAUUUGUCCACCGGUGAACUCACCGACGGAUGAUCAUCCCGGUAAGCAUCCACCGGUGAAAAUAUUACAGGAUGUUCAUUCCUUUCGGAUUUAUCCACUGAUAAUCAUCCACUGGUGAACCAUUUUAAAGUUAAAUUUUUAUCCUUUUUAUUGGGGCAUGAGUCAUAGUGUCCCACUCUUUGAAUAACCGAAUAACCUAAAAACAUUAUGUAUCCUAGGAGUGGAACUGAGAAGUGACGGGAGCACGCAACACGAAACCAUCAACUAUUUACUGCCAUCUAGAACACGAGAUGUUGAUUCAGGAAAUCCUUUGGAAACUGUGAUCAAGGUCCCAGCUCUCUAUGGAGGUGACCUCUGGGAUGAGGAGCUGGUUGCGCACAAUGAUGGAUGCAUAUGCGAUGAUUGUGCAUUUGGAGCACGCUGAGGGAUGAGGAAGAUCAUGAACCUCGUCGCUCAGCUGCUCAGGAUCGUUUUGUGGAAGACUUGGAAUUUGAAGCGCAAGCUGAGAAAGUUGAAGCACAGGCUGAGAAGCGCAUUUUUGAAUGCAAAAUGGGAACUUCCAGUGUUACAGGUUCACAAAGACAUAUUGCAGAAACUAGCAUUCUCAUCAGUUCAAUCGUCUAGAUGUCCUAACGAUUUCUCUGACAGUGAGAGAGAAGAGCCUGAGUCUGAAAGUGAUAGGCAUGAAGGUGAGAGAUCUACCCUGCAAAAGAGGGAAGAGGAGCUAGAGCAUGAAGAAGAAGGAGAGGAGGAUGAACAGAAUGAAGAGGAUACGACUGAAAUCAAAGAUUCAGAGGAACCAAGGCGGAGUAAGGGAUCUAGGGGUUGCCUCAAGCACACAGAGGUUGAGUCAGAUGCAAACUCUUGUCCAAGAAAGACAACUUCCCUUCACCGAAUGACAGUGGUUUUUGACAGUGAUGAGGAAUGAAAACCACCAUCAGAUAAAAAAUGACAGAAGAUGAGGAUGAUCAUGAACCUCGUUGCUCAGCUACUCAGGAUCAUUUGUGGAAGAUCUGGAAGUUGAAGUACAUGGUAUGACAUGCUUUGAUCGAAAACCUCUUCAGUACUUCUAUGUCCCUUAGAUGUUCUCUAGUAAUCCGUUUAAAAAUGUGGCAUAAGAAUGUGCAUCCAUACACCCAUAUAGAGAAGUAACAAACAAGACAUGACCAAACCAUUUUGCAAAGACUCCUUCCCACACAUCUACAUAUACCAAUUUUGUAUAGAAGAUACAAGAACAAAAGAACUAUUUUAGAGUUGUUUUGGUGUAAUCCCCAAGUUAACUGGGUUAAGCUUAAUUUUGAUGGCAGCUCAUUGGGGAACCUGAGCCUAGCUGGUGCAGGAGGAGUUUUUAGAGAUUAUAUGGGAAGAGUGUUGGGUUCCUAUGAAAUUCUUAUGGGGGUUAUAGGGGUAUUUGAAGUUGAGAUGGAAGGGCUAAUGGAAGGUCUCAUGCGGGGAAGGGAUAUGGACAUUAAUCAGCUAUGGGUUGAGUCUGACUCUAGUGCGUUGGUGAUGCUAGUUCAACAAAGGAAGGUCCCAUGGUUUGUUGCACAGUGGUGGUCCUUCCUUAAACCAUACUUGGAUGGAAUCACCUGGAAAAUAUCUUGUAAUUUCAGAGAGGAAAAUACCGUUGUAGAAUUUUUAGCUAGAGAUGCGGCCAAGAGUGUUGUCUCAGCAUCAAACGCUCCUUUCCCUACUCAUAUUGUGGAGCUCCUUAGCAGGGAUGCUAAUGGUAGACCCAACUAUAGAUUCUACUAGUGCGUUUCUCCUUUUCUCCCUACUGAUGGCAA